ACUGGCUCCAUUAUUAUCAAAUAAUGGAGAUUUACAAGAUAGACAGGAAAAUUGGCUUCCAGGUGGAAAAAUCAAAAUUGGAGUCAGAAUUGUUAGAACCAAAAACUAAGAAUUUGUCAAAAAUGUAUAACUUGCUGUUGAAAUGGAAUACACAGGAUGAAACGGUUAAAUCAGCUAUGAUCAAGUGGGCACAAGAUAUUGGUCAUAACAUUAUGUUUGCUGAUUGGGAACGGUUGUGGACCACCGGUAUAAAAUUUACGGCAUGUAAUGCCUUAAAAGAAAAUAUUAUGAAAAUGAUAUAUAGGUGGUACAUGACACCAGUCAAGCUUGCAAAAAUCUAUCAUUUGCCUGAUAAUAAAUGUUGGAAAUGUAAAGAGAUUGAAGGUACAUUCUUUCACCUUUGGUGGACAUGCCCAAGGAUUAAGGCUUUCUGGGAAAUGAUAUAUAAUGAAAUGAAAAAGGUAUUUAAAUAUACCUUUCUGAAGAAACCAGAGGCCUUUCUCCUGGGUAUGGUCGGCCAAUUGGUGUCAAAGAAGGAUAGAACUUUUUUUAUGUAUGCUACAACAGCAGCAAGAAUACUCAUCGCAAAGUAUUGGAAGACAGAAGAUCUACCCGCCAUGGAAGAAUGGCAGAUGAAGGUGAUAGACUAUAUGGGAUUGGCAGAAAUGACCGGCAGAAUCCGAGACCAGGGAAGAGAGACGGCGGAAGAAGAUUGGAAGAAAUUUAAGGACUAUCUUAAGAAACAUUGUAAAAUUAUUGAAUGUUAGAACGAUGUUGGUUUAGAAAUUAAGUGGUUUCUAGCUGUAAUGAUCAUGCAAUUAAGAAAAGAAAGGUUGAAAAUCAAUAGAAAUUAUGGGAGGGAUUUGCUGAAUUAAAUAAUUAGAAAUUGGAAUACAGAAAGGGGAGGUAUGAGGAGGUCGGGAAAGUAAGGUAUAAGAAAAUAAGGGAUUGAAAUUAUACUUGUUGUCUGUGUUUUGUUUGUAUUUUUGUUCUUUUUAUUU
rnacentral:lncRNA from 1 species